rnacentral:rRNA from 1 species
UACGGGGGGGGGCAAGCGUUUGUUCGGAAUUACUGGGCGUAAAGGGCUCGUAGGCGGCCAACUAAGUCAGACGUGAAAUCCCCAGGCUCAACCUGGGAACUGCGUCUGAUACUGGUUGGCUUGAAUCCGGGAGAGGGAUGCAGAAUUCCAGGUGUAGCGGUGAAAUGCGUAGAUAUCUGGAGGAACACCGGUGGCGAAGGCGGCAUCCUGGACCAAUACUGACGCUGAGGAGCGAAAGCCAGGGGAGCAAACGGG